rnacentral:rRNA from 1 species
CAGCCGCCACGGUAAUACGUAGGUGGCAAGCGUUGUCCGGAAUUAUUGGGCGUAAAGGGCUCGCAGGCGGUUUCUUAAGUCUGAUGUGAAAGCCCCCGGCUCAACCGGGGAGGGUCAUUGGAAACUGGGAAACUUGAGUGCAGAAGAGGAGAGUGGAAUUCCACGUGUAGCGGUGAAAUGCGUAGAGAUGUGGAGGAACACCAGUGACGAAGGCGACUCUCUGGUCUGUAACUGACGCUGAGGAGCGAAAGCGUGGGGAGCGAACAGGAUUAGAUACCCGUGUAGUCCCUGUCUCUUAUAC